UGAGCGCCAACUAAGUACGGAUGGACCUUCACAACCAUUCCUAAGCUUUGUGUUGCUCGGACCUCAAGUUCCAGUGUCUGUACAUGUUCACUUAACUGGACGGUGGUACGCUCCCUCCUCGUGAGUAAAUCCUGAAGUGUGUUACAGCAGUGCAGUGUUCUCCUGUUGCACAUACUACACCUGGGCUGUGGAUCAAGGAUGGCAUUUGAUCUUCAGAGCUGUGUCUCAUCUACUGUUAACGAAGGCAGGACUGUCUAGGAGAUGAGACGUGAGAAAUAAACACAAGGGAUCACACUGAAACACUGCAAAGGGAUUCUCUUGUGCUACAGCAUCAGCGCAGAAGCUCUGGGAAGAGCCGCCGUGUCAGCGCAUGACAGGAGGCAGAGCCAGAGCUGUUCAGGAAAUCUUUGUGCUGUUUCUUUUAUGCUAAGUUUCUCUACAUUAAAAUGGGGCAGGGGGGAUUACAAGGUGAGUGUAGGAAGAUUAUCAAGUAGUUUUAUAUUUUACCAUCCUCCCCAUCUUUG